GAUGAACGCUGGCGGCGUGCUUAACACAUGCAAGUCGAACGAAGCACUUUAUUUGAUUUCCUUCGGGACUGAUUAUUUUGUGACUGAGUGGCGGACGGGUGAGUAACGCGUGGGUAACCUGCCUUGUACAGGGGGAUAACAGUUGGAAACGGCUGCUAAUACCGCAUAAGCGCACAGCAUCGCAUGAUGCAGUGUGAAAAACUCCGGUGGUAUAAGAUGGACCCGCGUUGGAUUAGCUAGUUGGUGAGGUAACGGCCCACCAAGGCGACGAUCCAUAGUCGACCUGAUAGGGUGACCGGCCACAUUGGAACUGAGACACGGCCCAAACUCCUACGGGAGGCAGCAGUGGGGAAUAUUGCACAAUGGGCGAAAGCCUGAUGCAGCGACGCCGCGUGAGCGAAGAAGUAUUUCGGUAUGUAAAGCUCUAUCAGCAGGGAAGAUAAUGACGUUACCUGACGAAGAAGCACCGGCUAAAUACGUG
rnacentral:rRNA from 1 species